CACUACAAGUAGACCUGCCCUGCAAGAAAUGCUACAAGGUGUCCUCAAGUUGAAAUGAAAGGACACUAAAUGGUAACUUGAAGCUGUAUGAAGAAAUAAAGGUCUACAGUAAAGUGCGUCUAGAGUGUUGACAGCUGUUUCCAUGGACUUCAAAUCAACCCAACCCUGUGAGCACAGACUUUCAGCACCAGAGUCAGAUUUCCCAAAAAUGCUAUUCUUGAAGCGUAGAGCCAGACUCACAGAUCCUGUAAAGAAAACAGACCUUUCAGCAAGUGAAACACCCAAUCUUCCAUUGCAUGGGACUCACAGAGGUUCUGAGGGAGAGAUGUGAAUAGAAGGAGUGAUUGUCACUGUGGACUCUAUUUCUUCCAUCUGUGCAUGCAAGAUUUAUAUCUGUAUGUGUUUGUUUUAAAGUUUUAUUGAGGUAUAAUUGAUACACAAUAAUCUGUACCUAUUUAAUGUAUACAAUUUGAUCAGUUUGGACAUAUUUAAAUACCUGUGAAACCAUCACCACAAUCAAGGUAAUAGACAUAGCCAUCACCUCC
rnacentral:lncRNA from 1 species